rnacentral:rRNA from 1 species
AACGAAACGGUCUUUUCUAAUACAGAAGGCUAAUGACGGUACCGUAAGAAUAAGCACUUGUUAACUACGUGCCAGCCCCGCGGUAAUACGUAGGGUGCAAGCGUUAAUCGGAAUUACUGGGCGUAAAGCGUGCGCAGGCGGUUAUGUAAGACAGUUGUGAAAUCCCCGGGCUCAACCUGGGAACUGCAUCUGUGACUGCAUAGCUAGAGUACGGUAGAGGGGGAUGGAAUUCCGCGUGUAGCAGUGAAAUGUUAGAUAUGCGGAGGAACACCGAUGGCGAAGGCAAUCCCCUGGACCUGUACUGACGCUCAUGCACGAAAGCGUGGGGAGCAAACAGGAUUAGAUACCCUGGUAGUCCACGCCCUAAACGAUGUCAACUGGUUGUUGGGUCUUCACUGACUCAGUAACGAAGCUAACGNGUGAAGUUGACCGNNUGGGGAGUACGGCCGCAAGGUUGAAANUNAAAGGAAUUGACGG